CCUGGUGUCAAAGUAUUUAGGAAGCAAAUAUCGAGCAUAGCAGAAGCAUCAACGUCAAAGGCAACACUCUUCUCGCCUAAGACAUUUUGAAUACUGCUAUGAGUGUUGCCAGAUGAAUCAGUUAUCAUCAUACUCAAGGUUUGUCCAUCUCCCAUAUUACCAGUAGUUUUCAGAUUAACAAUUACAAGGUUCUUUUCUCCUACGUAUUCACGAAGACAGAAAGGCUCUGGAUUGGUUUUGGCAGGAAUAUCAAAGUUUAAAGCAUGGACAACAGUCAAUAAUGCUAGCAUAAAGAACAACGAAGAUUUCAAAGAAACCAUCAUUUUGAAAUAACUCCAAAUGUUUGGGAUACGAUAUGAACGACGUAAUAACCACCACUGCUGUAUACAGGUUGGCAAAAGAAAGAAAUCUUGCCUGUUCUAGUUAAAUGAUGGUAAACCGAAUGCCAAGGGGGAGUGUGCGCUGCGUCUCAUUAACUUUCCUUACAGCUACAAUGCAACAAAAAAUACAAAAAUAAGAAUUCUG